rnacentral:rRNA from 1 species
GCCUAACCGUAAAAUUUAACCCACACCCAUAAACGCCAGGGUAUUACGAGCCUAGCUUAAAACCCAAAGGACUUGACGGUGACCCACUCCAACUAGAGGAGCCUGUUCUACAAUCGAUAAUACCCGAUAUACCAAACCAUCUUUUUGCCAAUUUCAGCCUGUAUACCUCCGUCGCAAGCUAACCGCAUGAACGUAUCUUAGUAGGCCAAAGGAUCAAUACGCCACAACGUCAGGUCAAGGUGCAGCUAAUAAAAUGGAAGCAAUGGGCUACAAUUUCUAAACUAGAACAAACGAAAUACUACAUGAAAUAUAGUCAUGAAGGAGGAUUUAGAAGUAAGUAGGAAAUAGAGUGUCCUACUAAACAUUGGCCCUGGGACGCGUACACACCGCCCGU